UACGAAGGGGGCUAGCGUUGCUCGGAAUCACUGGGCGUAAAGCGCACGUAGGCGGAUUUCUAAGUCAGGGGUGAAAUCCUGGAGCUCAACUCCAGAACUGCCUUUGAUACUGGCGACCUUGAGUCCGGGAGAGGUGAGUGGAACUGCGAGUGUAGAGGUGAAAUUCGUAGAUAUUCGCAAGAACACCAGUGGCGAAGGCGGCUCACUGGCCCGGUACUGACGCUGAGGUGCGAAAGCGUGGGGAGCAAACAGG
rnacentral:rRNA from 1 species